UACGUAGGGUGCAAGCGUUAUCCGGAUUCACUGGGCUUAAAGGGUGCGUAGGCGGGCAGGUAAGUCAGUGGUGAAAUCUUCGAGCUUAACUCGGAAACUGCCGUUGAUACUAUCUGUCUUGAAUACCGUGGAGAUGAGCGGAAUAUGUCAUGUAGCGGUGAAAUGCUUAGAUAUGACAUAGAACACCAAUUGCGAAGGCAGCUCGUUACACGUAUAUUGACGCUGAGGCUCGAAAGCGUGGGGAUCAAACAGG
rnacentral:rRNA from 1 species